ACAUCCCGGAGACCCUUAGGAAACUAGGGGUGCUUCCAUCUGGAGAAUCUGGAGACAGGUGCUGCAUGGCUGUCGUCAGCUCGUGUCGUGAGAUGUUGGGUUAAGUCCCGCAACGAGCGCAACCCUUGCCUUUAGUUGCCAGCAGUUCGGCUGGGCACUCUAAAGGGACUGCCGGUGUUAAACCGGAGGAAGGUGGGGAUGACGUCAAGUCCUCAUGGCCUUUAUGACCAGGGCUACACACGUACUACAAUGGCCGAUACAAAGGGCAGCGACACUGCGAGGUGAAGCCAAUCCCGUAAAAUCGGUCUCAGUCCGGAUUGGAGUCUGCAACUCGACUCCAUGAAGUUGGAAUCGCUAGUAAUCGUGGAUCAGCAUGCCACGGUGAAUACGUUCCCGGGCCUU
rnacentral:rRNA from 1 species